rnacentral:rRNA from 1 species
UACGUAGGUGGCGAGCGUUAUCCGGAAUUACUGGGCGUAAAGCGUGCGCAGGCGGCCCGUUAAGACAGGUGUGAAAUCCCUGGGCUCAACCUAGGAAUUGCGCUUGUGACUGGCGGGCUCGAGUACGGUAGAGGUGGGUGGAAUUCCUGGUGUAGCAGUGAAAUGCGUAGAGAUCAGGAGGAACACCGAUGGCGAAGGCAGCCCCCUGGGCCUGUACUGACGCUCAUGCACGAAAGCGUGGGGAGCAAACAGG